rnacentral:rRNA from 1 species
UGCCAGCAGCCGCGGUAAUACGGAAGGUCCUAGCGUUGUUCGGAAUUACUGGGCGUAAAGCGCAUGUAGGCGGAACAGAAAGUUAGAAGUGAAAUCCCUGGGCUCAACCUAGGAAUUGCUUUUAAAACUUCUGUUCUGAAUUCAGGAGAGGAAAAUGGAAUAUCCAGUGUAGAGGUGAAAUUCGUAGAUAUUGGAUGGAACACCAGUGGCGAAGGCGAUUUUCUGGACUGAUAUUGACGCUGAGAUGCGAAGGCAUGGGUAGCAAACGGGAUUAGAUA